ACCGCUUAUACCAUUUUACCUUACCAUUUCCAUCGACAGUCACUGUCCAUAUCGCGAACAGCAACAGUUGCGAGUUCCGUGCACUGAACCUGAGACCCGUAAUGCGUUACUUAUAAUAUAAACUUAGAAUUAAAACAUAAUAAGGUACCUUUAAUAAAUAGUCCCGUGCGGGUUUCUUUACUAACCGAUCGUUAAAGUCUCCCCGUUAUAAAUUUUUGUGAAGGUGGAUUGCCACAAUUUUGGAAAGUACUUCAAACUUUUUACAUUUAUAGGGGCCAAGUCCUUGGUCCAUCAUGGCAUGAUGAAUGACGCUUCCUAGGAUAUUAAGUAGACGCCUCCGUGGUGUAGGUAAG